CCUACGGGAGGCAGCAGUGGGGGAUAUUGGACAAUGGGGGGAACCCUGAUCCAGCGACGCCGCGUGAGUGCAGAAGUAUUUCGGUAUGUAAAGCUCUGUCAGCAGGGAAGAAAGAAAUGACGGUACCUGACCAAGAAGCCCCGGCUAACUACGUGCCAGCAGCCGCGGUAAUACGUAGGGGGCACGCGUUAUCCGGACUUACUGGGUGUAAAGGGAGCGUAGACGGUUAAGUAAGUCUGGAGUGAAAGGCCGGGGCCCAACCCCGGGACUGCUCUGGAAACUAUUGAACUUGAGUGCAGGAGAGGUAAGCGGAAUUCCUAGUGUAGCGGUGAAAUGCGUAGAGAUUAGGAGGAACACCAGUGGCGAAGGCGGCUUACUGGACUGUAACUGACGUUGAGGCUCGAAAGCGUGGGGAGCAAACAGGAUUAGAUACCCGGGUAGUC
rnacentral:rRNA from 1 species